CAUCUCAGGGGCCAUCAGUGUGUGCGUGACAUCCAGCAUGAAGAGUGAGUUUGAAUGGAUCAGUGCCACCGAGACUCCUAAUCUGUUUUGGAGAAGGAAAUGCAGUUGACAUAAUUUCUGUCGUGGGCUGUGUGCCCCAUGCUCUCACGUUACCAUGACUCACCUUGCAGGAAACUGAUGUAUAGCUGUGGGUUGUGCUGGACUGGGGAACAAUACCAUUUUGAAUGCUGAGACGGGGAAAGAGUUUGCCAGACACAUGGACCUUGGGAGUGGUUUCGAUGUCUGCCAGGCAUCAGGUGGCCUCCCUCAAAUCCCAGAGUUUUGUUCACAUCACCAUGGAGCAUCAGCCAAGGCAAACACCACCUUCCUCGCUAAGCGUUUACCGUCCCCGGGUGGUUUCUGCAAUAAAAUAAUAAUCAUUGCUCUUUCCUGAGAGCUAACUCAAAGCCCUGCGUGUUGCAUCAUCUUCAAUGCCCAUUAGACCUAAAAGGCAGGAUGAUCACCAUCAUUUUUUAGAUGAGGAAACUGAGGUUCAGGGAGCUUUAAGGACUUGUUUGGGUUUGCACAAGUUUGGAAAAAGAUUUGAACACAGACAGAGCUUGCUGCGGAAGUAAAAUUUCAAAAUAAUCCUCCAACGUGUUUGUGGCCUGAAGGAGCAGAGCAGCGGUGGGAACAAUUUAAUUCCUAAUAAAGUCCAUACCUCUAAGUCGCUGCGUGUGUGCCAUUGAAACGCAGAGAAGUUGCUAGAACUCCUCCACUCCUGCAGAGCUGUUGCCUCUCUGGGCCUGUGUGACAAUGUUUGCUCUCCCUGCUGUCACUUUGCACUUCCCCGAGUCUCUCUGGAUGGCACUUCAUGAUUUCUCCCUGAAGCAAUGAUGGAAGUAUGUCAGCUGUCAAAGGUUCUGGCAGCAGAAGGCAGCUGAGAAUAAAGCGGCUUCACGGUAAUGUCGGUGACCCCCUAACCAUACCCCGCUUUCCACCGAUGAUUUGUCUGGACAGUGUUUAAAGCAGAUGAAAUAUACAUUUUUUGAAUCAGGCAACAGGAGAUGACCAGUGCUGGGUUUCAUGGGAACCAGAGGAUUUACAACUUUGCUUGGGCUCCACGUACCAGCAGGAGCCUGAUGAGGAGGGCGGCUGUGUUCUGAAUUGUUUUAGGAAGUCUCCUUCAGCCCAAGACCGUCUGGACAAAAUUGCCAUGGGAUCCUGUUGCUGCAGCAGGAUGUUACCAAGUGAGACGUUGACUCAAAGAAGGGGAGCUGAGAUCAGGAAGGCCAAGAUGGCAUCCAAAAAUUCAAACACACCAAGGAGGCCAGGUGCGAUGGCUCACGCCUGUAAUCCUAGCACUUUGGAAGACCCAGGUGGGUGGAUCACCUGAGGUUAGGAGUUUGAGACCAGCCUGGCCAACAUGGUGAAACCCCAUCUCUACUUAAAAAAAAAAAAAAUCAGCUGGGCGUGCUAGAAGGCACCUGUAAUCCCAGCUACUUGGAAGUCUGAGGCAGGAGAAUUGUUUGAACCCGGGAGGUUGAGGUUGCAGUGAGCCACGCCACUGCACUCUAGCCUGGGCAACAAGAGUGAAAUUCAGUCUCAAAAAAAAAAAAAAAAAAAAAAAAACCAAAAAACAAAACCUCCAAAGGACAUAUGUGUGCUCUUGCUCUCAGGAAGCUUGUGAUUCCUGGGGAGAAACUGAUCACACACACACCGAGUAUUGUAAAGUGAUUCAAAGUUGCACAAGGGAGAGGCAAGUUCUGAGUCUCCUCCUGCCUCCCAGUUCCCUUCCUUGAAUGCAGGGUCACUGACUGAUUGGUCACAUCCCAAGACCAUGAUUGGCUAUUUUACAAGUAGACAAGGUCACCAUGCUUUAACAGGCAAGGCCCCAUGAGCCACCUCUCUUUGUUGGAAGUUGCCUGCGUCUGGCCCUCCUCUCACUUCUUGAGUGUAGGUUUGAGGUCUGGGAAUGCUGCUGGUAGCUGUGGUCCAUCCCUUUCAAGAUUGGGAUUUGGAAGAUAAAGGAAAGAUCCUGUUUGGAGCCUGAGCCUAAGCAUAGAGUUCCAGCCUGAGGUUGCAGAGAGGCCCAGCCUUGGGUGUGGGUUCCAAGCCCAGAUGGCAAUAAAGGAGCACCCUGUCUUCCUACGGGCUGGAGUUCCUUUUGAGAGUGCUUCCUGGGAAAUGUUGUCAUAACAUUGACAGGGCAGAAUUUCAGCAUUUCUCACCCUUGGCCCUAAUAUCCAUCUCCCAAAUCACCCCCAGUGCCAGGAAUCAUUAAGAAAGCAGUGGUAGUGUUGAGACAACCAAAAGGCUGUUAGUUUGAGAACCGUCACAUAUAGCAGAUGGAAUUCUUGAAAAAGUGUCUUCAGCAUUAGGUAGAGGCAUAUUGUUAUACAUAAAGAAAGGCCGGAGAAAAACACCAAGAACUUUCUGGGGUAACUUCUCUACAGGAGGUUGCUGUGUCCCCCUAGACAGCUCUAUCAACAGGUGAGGACUGGGAAUCUAGUGGUGAAUUGAUGUGACUGGGUUGGGGCAGAAAUGCCAUGGGGCCUGAUGCAGCACAGCUGUACGUCAUGGAAAAUGAUCCCUGAGACAGUCAGCAACUGGAUGUAGAAUGAAUCUGUUUAAGUAAUGAGUGUUCGCUUUAGGAGAGCAGGAUGCAGGACAAUAGCCAGGAGAGAGCAAAACCUGUUUGAAAGAGUUGAGGGAUUUGUGAUGUCCUGCCUGACACACCAGCACCCCUGAUGAUGCUGUCAAUGGCUUUCUCUCAAUUAGUCCCCCUGGACAGGUGGAAGCCGAGGUAAGUUGGGUAAUUGAUGUCUUCAUGCUUCCACAAAGGGCCUACUUUGGGAAGAUGGAAUAUGUUAAUGCAGGUCCCUGCAUGAAGCAGGGAAUUCUGAACACAUUUGCAGGCCGGUGAAGGAAAGGUCCUUCCCCAUGUCAUGGUUCCACAUGCUCUCCACCAUAAACUUGGAAGAAUUCAAGCUGACACAUCAUGUGAAAUUCAGGGUGAAAAAAGUCUGUUGAAAUGGAUAAUGGAAUGUGGAAGACCUGUGGAACAUGUAGUUGGACCUUUAACUCUGUCUGUAUCCACACAAAAGCCUGUAAUAGAAUGUUCAAGCAUAACAUCCUUGAAUUUUUCAAAAAUAACUUUACAGCUGAUCCAUUUAUUUUGUCGGUGGGGUGAGGGGACAGAGAGAAGAAUGGGAAAGAGAGUGAGAGCAGGGAAAGAGAAGAGUGAUGAUUGAAGGGGAAGAGAAGGAAUUUUCUAACAACUCCUUGCCACAAAAUGAUGAGUGAUGGUGAGUGAUUUAAUUAGGUCAUUAAGUGGAUGAAAUAACAUGGCCAAGGUAAACUUACGUAAACUGUUUCUUAUUUAAAUUAUAUUGGAUACUUGGAUCAUCUGUUUAAUAAAAAAUCUCAUCCACUCUUCAAUAUUGGCUUAAAUCCUCUCCCCUGAACAAAACCUUUUCUAAGCACUGCAACUGGGACAUUUUUUAGUUCUUUUUACAUUUUUUUUCCAUAUUAUUUAGUUGAAACUAAUUGCAUGGAGCUCUAUUCCACGUAGUUACUUCCAUGGGUCCAUGAGUCUUAUUUCUCCCCAAAGACAUUUUUCUUAGGGAGGAAGAAACCAAGCUACAAACGUUUUUCUCAUGUGCUUCCUACACUGUGUUCUGUGCAGUAGAUGCUGCUGAACAUUUGCCAGGAGCCUGAUAUUUGGAAAGUUUGGCUCAUUUUCAAGGCUAUGCAAUUUAAUGAUACUGACAAACCCCAAAAUUUCUAGAUCCCAAUUAAGUACUUCAUUGUCCUGACUUCAUUCAUCAUAAUGGAAAAUUAACUUACUGUCUAAUAUCUCAUUUUCUUCUCUUUAAUAUAGAUAAUAAUAAACUAACCCAUGCAAAUGUAUUGAAGAAUAAUGAAUAAAUAAAAUUUACAAGCAAAUGUAAGUAUAAAGAUGUAUCUAAAUGCACAUAAUAUUAAUGGAGAUUGAUAAAAUAAACCAGCUAGUAAUGAUGUGGAAGUGAUAACAUGUACACAUCGUUUUGCAAAUCAGAUUUUUAGUGACUAAAUAGAAAAUGACUUGGAGAAAAUACAUGAGACUUUGUGAGUAAUUCUGAGGUGGGAGAGAAAUUUUUUAAAAUUCUGAGGAUGUAUGAUGGGAUUCUUUAAGACUUUCUCUCUUAGUCUCCUGAACUCUGUUUAUAGUGUACACAUUAACUUUGUUUAUAAAUUUAAUGAAUCCGUUUUUGAUUAAAUAAACAUGCGUAUGGUAAAGAAAUUCCGUGAGACUAAAUAAUUCUUCCACCCCUGUCUCCCAGUUUUCUGGUUCUCUUCCUCAGAGAAAACUACUAUGUUUCUUGAAUUUUCUUCAGAGGAUAAUUCUCUGUAGAUACAAACAUAUUUCUAAAUGUGCCUUUCACUUUUAUAGCAUGAAGUUUGGUGUCCUAAGUAAGAAUUCUACAGUUUGCUUGUUUUCACUUACCAAUAUGUCUGGAGAUUGUUCCAUACAUACAUGUCGAUCCACCUCUUUCUUUUUAACACCAGGGUCUCUGUUAUAGACAUAACACACUUGUCCAGGCAGAUAACUUCUCAGCUUAGCGUUUUCAAGGUUGUUACAUAAUAAUGAUCUUUAUAAUGGAUUUGUCCUCUUCAGAGCAGGUCUGGGCUUUUGAUGUGCCAUGUGGAUUAUUGGUGGAAAUUUAUGAGUACAUUCUUUGGAGUUGCAUUCACAUUCAAGUCUGUAUUAUAACAUUCACAAUUAUAUAACUUGGACCCUUCACCUUCUUAUUUUAAUUUAGAUUCGUUGUAAUUCUGGACUUUCAUACCACCAUUAGCCUUGAACUUAUUUUGAAGCUCUCCUAUAGGAGAGCUAGACAAGGAUGUUUCUUGUCUAAUAUCCUGGACAAUAUUCUCCAGUAGCAAUGUACAAAAGAGUUAAUGGAAGCUUAAUUUCUGGGUACUCAAACACCUGAAUAUAUCUUUAUUCUGUUCUCAUAAUUGACUUAACAAUAUGACUAGUUAUAGGUAUCUAAGUUAAAAAGAUUUUCUCCAUAAUAUAUUGGGCCUCAA
rnacentral:lncRNA from 1 species